UCUCAUUUCUUAAAAAUUUGCUUAAAGCCCCUAUUGCUCUCCGUAGUAGAAACAGUUUUAAGCAUACUUUAUUGGUGUUAAAUUGCAUAUAUCAAUUGGUGAGGAACCUUCCAGAAGGGCUGGGGUGGAUGUUUUUGCUGAAAUGGGAGUUGAAGUUACAGUGGAGGACUUUGUCCCUUUCAUGGAAACUGGCGAGGCAAACUUCUUAGGGGGUGAAGCUUCUGUUAAAGGAAUGAAGGGAUUUGAUCCUGAGGUGGCCAAAAAGAGGUUCUUUGAGAUAUAUCUGGAGAAGGUCAUUAACCUACUAUUAAACCACAUAUUGCAAUGAAAACCUCUGAUUUCGUUCAAUGCUUGCAGUAUGCAAAACCAAAUUAAGGAAUAGGAUUUCUAGGAGCCCUUGAACUGAUUAAUCAGUGCAAAAGCAAAGGCCUAAAAGUUGCUGUUGCAUCUAGUGCUGAUUGCAUCAAGGUUGACGCAAAUUUAGCUGCUGCUGGA